CCUACGGGGGGCAGCAAUUAGGAAUAUUUCGCAAUGGGGGAAACCCUGACGGAGCGACGCCGCGUGCAGGAGGAAGGCCUUCGGGUCGUAAACUGCUUUUCUCUGUGACGAUUAUGACGGUAGCAGAGGAAUAAGGGCCUGCUAACUACGUGCCAGCAGCCGCGGUCAAACGUAGGGCCCAAGCGUUAUCCGGAAUUACUGGGCGUAAAGAGUUGCGUAGGUGGCAUAGUAAGCAAAUAGUGAAAGCGUGCGGCUCAACCGCAUACCCGCUAUCUGAACUGCUAAGCUUGAGCACGAGAGAGGUAACUGGAAUUUCUAGUGUAGGAGUGAAAUCCGUAGAUAUUAGAAGGAACACCGAUGGCGUAGGCAGGUUACUGGCUCGUUGCUGACACUCAGGCACGAAAGCGUGGGGAGCGAACGGGAUUAGAUACCCGAGUAGU
rnacentral:rRNA from 1 species